GAAAUGCUGUCACUCAGGGAUGUGGCUAUAGAUUUCUCUCCAGAAGAGAGGGAAAGCCUGGAGCCUCCUCAGUGGAGUCUGUACAGGGACAUGAUGCUGGAGAGUUGGAGCAACCUUGAUUUCUUGGAUGAGGAUUGCAUCCAUACUGAAUUCUUUUUCACCACCGAUGUGUCUUGCCGUCACUAGGCCAUACUUGGUAACAUGUCUGGAGCAAAACCAAGGGUCUUCAGUUGUGAAACGACAAAGAGCAGCCACCAUGCCUUCAGGGACUAUCACAGAAUUCAUGCUGGAGAGUACCCCUACAAGUGUGAAGGAUGUGGCAAAGGCUUUCCCCAUUUUCCAAAGCUUCAGGAACAUCAAAUGAUUUAUACCGGAGUUAAACCCUACAAUUGUGAAGAGUUUGGCAAAAGUUUUUCCUUAUCUUCAUGCCUUAGAAGACAUCGAACAAUUCACUCUGAAGACAAACCCUACGUGUGGAAAGCCUGUGGCAGAUGGUUUUCCUCUUCUUCCAAACUUAGAGGACAGCAAGCAAUCCAUUUUGAAGAUAAUCCUUACAAGUCUAAGGAAUGUGACCAUAAGUUGUCCUGUUCUCCAUAACUUCAGGAGAAUCAAAUAACUCAUCCUAGAGAGAAAUUAUCCAAGUGUGAAGAAUGUCACAAAGCCUUUUGUUCUCAGGCAUUUCUUAGCAGACACAGGACCGUUCAUACCGGAGAGAAACCCUACAGCGUGGGACGUGGUUUUCCUCUCUUACAUCCCUUAAAAGACAUCAAAUAAUUCAUUCUCAAGACAUCCCCCAUGAGUGGGUAUAAUGUGGCAAAAUAUUUUCUUGUUCUGCAUGUCUUCAGGAACAUCAAAAAUUUCAUACUGAAGAGAAACCCUACAAAUGUGAAGACUGUCACAAAGCCUUUCUUUAUCACUGGUUUCUUAGGGGACACAAAGCAGCUCACACUGGAGAGAAACCAAGUGUGAAGAGUAUCGGGAAUGUUUUUCAUUUUCUUCAGCCCUUAGACGACAUCAAAUAAUUCAUUGUGAAGACAUUCCCUUCAAGGGUGGGGAAUGUGGCAAAGCUUUUUCUAUAUUGUCUACCAUUAAGAAACACAAGUUUGUUCGUUCUGGAGAGGAACCAUAGCAGUGUGAACAAUGUGGGAAAGCCUCGUCUUCUAAUACUUCCCUGUUUCAGCACAAGCUAAGUCAUACUGGAGUGAAAUCUUACCAGUGUGAAGAAUGUGUCAGAAUAUUUUACUCUACUUCACAACUGAAGAAACAUAAAAGAGUACAAUGUCAAGAGAAACCAUAGGAAUGUGAUCGAUGGAAAAUCUUUUCCACUGACUGCUAUCAGCAUGAUAUUGUUCCUACUGGAGAGCAACACCACAACUGUGAAGAGUGUGGCAAAAUGUUUGCCUGUGUCUCCCAACUGAAGGGACAUGGAACAAUUCAUUGUCAAGAGAAAUCCUACACAUGUGCCAAGGACUUUUGUACCAGCCAAUAACUUUCUGUACACAUGAGAGCUCAUACCAAAGAGAAACCACACAAGUGUUAAGCACAUUCAAAACCUUUUCCUACUCUUAUACCUUCUUCUCCACAAAUUAUAUCAUAUAUAUAUAUAUAUUUACUCUACUUUAGAACUUAAACACUAAAAUAUUCAUACUGGAGAAAAACCAUAUACGUGCAAAGAA
rnacentral:lncRNA from 1 species